rnacentral:rRNA from 1 species
UACGUAGGGGCAAGCGUUGUCCGGAAUCAUUGGGCGUAAAGAGCGCGUAGGCGGCCCUGUAAGUCCGCUGUGAAAGUCAAGGCUCAACCCUUGGAUGCCGGUGGAUACUGCAGGCUAGAGUCCGGAAGAGGCGAGUGGAAUUCCUGGUGUAGCGGUGAAAUGCGCAGAUAUCAGGAGGAACACCAAUUGCGAAGGCAGCUCGCUGGGACGUUACUGACGCUGAGACGCGAAAGCGUGGGAGCAAACAGG